AGCAGCCGCGGUAAUUCCAGCUCCAAUAGCGUAUAUUAAAGUUGUUGCAGUUAAAAAGCUCGUAGUUGAAUUUCGGGGUUAGUAGGUUGGUCAUGCCUCUGGUAUGUACUGGUCUCACUGAUUCCUCCUUCCUUAUGAACCGUAAUGCCAUUAAUUUGGUGUUGCGGGGAAUUUGGACUGUUACUUUGAAAAAAAUUAGAGUGUUUAAAGCAAGCUAACGCUUGAAUACAUUAGCAUGGAAUAAUGAAAUAGGACGUUCGAUCUUAUUUUUGUUGGUUUCUAGGAUUGACGUAAUGAUUAAUAGGGAUAGUUGGGGGCAUUAGUAUUCAAUUGUCAGAGGUGAAAUUCUUGGAUUUAUUGAAGACUAACUACUGCGAAAGCAUUUGCCAAGGAUGUUUUCAUUAAUCAAGAACGAAAGUUAGGGGAUCGAAGACGAUCAGAUACCGUCGUAGUCUUAACCAUAAACUAUGCCGACUAGGGAUCGGAUGAUGUUAAUUUUUUUAAUGACUCAUUCGGCGCC
rnacentral:rRNA from 1 species